GACGAACCGUGCGAACGUUGUUCGGAAUCACUGGGCAUAAAGAGCACGUAGGCUGCGCGCUAAGUCAGGUGUGAAAUCCCCCGGCUCAACCGGGGAACUGCACCUGAUACUGGCGUGCUCGAGGACGGUAGGGGUGAGUGGAACUCCAGGUGGAGCGGUGAAAUGCGUAGAUAUCUGGAGGAACACCGGUGGCGAAAGCGGCUCACUGGACCGUCUCUGACGCUGAGGUGCGAAAGCUAGGGUAGCAAACGGG
rnacentral:rRNA from 1 species